GAUGAACGCUGGCGGCGUGCCUAAUACAUGCAAGUCGAGCGAACAGACGAGGAGCUUGCUCCUCUGACGUUAGCGGCGGACGGGCGAGUAACACGUGGAUAACCUACCUAUAAGACUGGGAUAACUUCGGGAAACCGGAGCUUAUACCGGAUAAUAUAUUGAACCGCAUGGUUCAAUAGUGAAAGACGGUUUUGCUGUCACUUAUAGAUGGAUCUGCGCCGCAUUAGCUAGUUGGUAAGGUAACGGCUUACCAAGGCGACGAUGCGUAGCCGACGUGAGAGGGGGAUAGGCCACACUGGAGCGGGAACACGGUCCAGACGCCUACGGGAGGCAGCAGUAGGGAACCUGCCGCAAUAGUCGAGAGCCUGACGGAGCAACGCCACGUGAGUGAUGAAGGUCUUCGGAUCGUGAUGCUCUGUUAUGAGGGAAGAACAAAUGUGUAAGUAACUAUGCACGUCUUGACGGUACCUGGUCAGAAAGCCACGGCUAACUACGUG
rnacentral:rRNA from 1 species